ensembl:lncRNA
GCUUCCCAUUUUAGUGUAGGAAGCACUUUAAUGUUCAAGCAUUUUGUCUUUUCAAACUACGGAGUGAAAUUACCAUCGAUAAUGGCUUUCACAGAAAUGAGCAGAUAUUUUCUAUGAAUUUGGAUUUAUAGUCAAUGAACAACUCAUUUUUUCAACCAUCUCAACUCUCAUUUUUUAUAUUAGGAUUUUCCCCAUUCUUUGAAAGAUGAAAGCACUGACGAAAAGUCCACCUCAAUAGGCAUAGGAAUUACUGUGGGAAUGAAACAGACACCCGAGAUCCCUCAGACCCAGUCCUGGUUUGGAUCCAACUGAUACAGGUGUCUGGAGUCUCCUGUUCAUCAGUAGAUAACACUGGAUGAGGGGCAGAUGAAAACCAAACAGCUGAUCCAUUGUCUAAUUGGACCCAUAAGCGUUCUCCCACUUCUGUUCCAGAGCCAUGCCGCUCCAUGAGAGAGAAGUGUGACAGAGGCUGGUGAUGUGAGAGUCUUCUGUGACUGUCUUUCUUGUCCCUACACAACAGAGAAGAGAGAAGGAGGAGCAGCCUCCUUGAGUUUUCAGAGCUGAAAUCUCAGUGGCCAGUGCUGAGGCACACAGACCCCUGCCCCACCCCAUCCACAUUCCACCAAGCUCCCCCAGCCUGGUUUGAAUCAGCAAGCAUUGUGCUUCUCUGAGGAAACAGCCACAGUAAUAUAAAGACACCUUUGUCUUAAGACAAAGCAGAUUGCCACAAAUAGAG